rfam:Salmo salar isolate Sally breed double haploid chromosome ssa09, whole genome shotgun sequence.
UGCAUUCACUACUGUAAGUCCCUCUGGAUAAGAGCGUCUGCUAAAAUGACUAAAA